CCUAAGGGUGGCAGCAGUGAGGAAUAUUGGUCAAUGGCCGGAAGGCUGAACCAGCCAUGCCGCGUGAAGGUCAGUGCCCUAUGGGCGUUAAACUUCUUUUGUGCGGGAGCAAUAAUGGUCACGUGUGGCCAGACGAGAGUACCGUACGAAUAAGCAUCGGCUAACUCCGUGCCAGCAGCCGCGGUAAUACGGGGGAUGCAAGCGUUAUCCGGAUUUAUUGGGUUUAAAGGGUGCGUAGGCGGUGAGGUAAGUCAGCGGUGAAAUGCCCCCGCUCAACGGGGUGAAGUGCAAUUGAUACUGUCUUGCUGGAAUGCGGAUGACGUGGGAGGAAUGUGUGGUGUAGCGGUGAAAUGCAUAGAUAUCACACAGAACACCAGUUGCGAAGGCAUCUGACGAAUCCGCGAUUGACGCUGAUGCGCGAAAGCGUGGGUAUCAAACAGGAUUAGAUACCCCGGUAGUC
rnacentral:rRNA from 1 species